rnacentral:tRNA from 2 species
UGGAGAUAAGCGGACUCGAACCGCUGACAUCCGCC